rnacentral:rRNA from 1 species
GACGAACGCUGUCGGCGUGCUUAACACAUGCAAGUCGAACGGAAAGGCCCUGCUUUUGUGGGGUGCUCGAGUGGCGAACGGGUGAGUAACACGUGAGUAACCUGCCCUUGACUUUGGGAUAACUUCAGGAAACUGGGGCUAAUACCGGAUAGGAGCUCCUGCUGCAUGGUGGGGGUUGGAAAGUUUCGGCGGUUGGGGAUGGACUCGCGGCUUAUCAGCUUGUUGGUGGGGUAGUGGCUUACCAAGGCUUUGACGGGUAGCCGGCCUGAGAGGGUGACCGGCCACAUUGGGACUGAGAUACGGCCCAGACUCCUACGGGAGGCAGCAGUGGGGAAUAUUGCACAAUGGGCGGAAGCCUGAUGCAGCAACGCCGCGUGCGGGAUGACGGCCUUCGGGUUGUAAACCGCUUUCGCCUGUGACGAAGCGUGAGUGACGGUAAUGGGUAAAGAAGCACCGGCUAACUACGUGCCAGCAGCCGCGGUGAUACGUAGGGUGCGAGCGUUGUCCGGAUUUAUUGGGCGUAAAGGGCUCGUAGGUGGUUGAUCGCGUCGGAAGUGUAAUCUUGGGGCUUAACCCUGAGCGUGCUUUCGAUACGGGUUGACUUGAGGAAGGUAGGGGAGAAUGGAAUUCCUGGUGGAGCGGUGGAAUGCGCAGAUAUCAGGAGGAACACCAGUGGCGAAGGCGGUUCUCUGGGCCUUUCCUGACGCUGAGGAGCGAAAGCGUGGGGAGCGAACAGGCUUAGAUACCCUGGUAGUCCACGCUGUAAACGGUGGGUACUAGGUGUGGGGUCCAUUCCACGGGUUCCGUGCCGUAGCUAACGCUUUAAGUACCCCGCCUGGGGAGUACGGCCGCAAGGCUAAAACUCAAAGGAAUUGACGGGGCCCCGCACAAGCGGCGGAGCAUGCGGAUUAAUUCGAUGCAACGCGUAGAACCUUACCUGGGUUUGACAUGGAUCGGGAGUGCUCAGAGAUGGGUGUGCCUCUUUCGGGGUCGGUUCACAGGUGGUGCAUGCCUGUCGUCAGCUCGUGUCGUGAGAUGUUGGGUUAAGUCCCGCAACGAGCGCAACCCUUGUUCACUGUUGCCAGCACGUUAUGGUGGGGACUCAGUGGAGACCGCCGGGGUCAACUCGGAGGAAGGUGGGGAUGACGUCAAGUCAUCAUGCCCCUUAUGUCCAGGGCUUCACGCAUGCUACAAUGGCUGGUACAGAGAGUGGCGAGCCUGUGAGGGUGAGCGAAUCUCGGAAAGCCGGUCUCAGUUCGGAUUGGGGUCUGCAACUCGACCUCAUGAAGUCGGAGUCGCUAGUAAUCGCAGAUCAGCAACGCUGCGGUGAAUACGUUCCCGGG